rnacentral:rRNA from 1 species
GAUGAACGCUAGCGGCAGGCUUAAUACAUGCAAGUCGAGGGGCAUCGCGGGUAGCAAUACCUGGCGGCGACCGGCGCACGGGUGCGUAACGCGUAUGUAAUCUACCUUUAACCGGGGAAUAGCCCAGAGAAAUCUGGAUUAAUGCCCUAUAGUAUUAUUGGAAGGCAUCUUUCGAUAAUUAAAGCUCCGGCGGUUUUAGAUGAACAUGCGUGUGCAUUAGUUAGUUGGCGAGGUAACGGCUCACCAAGACUACGAUGACUAGGGGGUCUGAGAGGAUGAUCCCCCAAACUGGCACUGAGACGCGGACCAGACUCCUACGGGAGGCAGCAGUAAGGAAUAUUGGGCAAUGGAGGCAACUCUGACCCAGCCAUGCCGCGUGAAGGAUGACGGCCCUCGUGGUUGUAAACUUCUUUUGUACGGGAAUAACCCUCCGAACGUGUUCGGAGCUGAAGGUACCGUAAGAAUAAGGAUCGGCUAACUCCGUGCCAGCCGCCGCAGUAA